UCGAGGAUUCCAUUCUGCCGUUUGUAAUUCCUGAUCCCACUGUUUGCCAGCCAUGACUAGAAAAAAGGACUCUGCCUAGACCUUGACUCGAAAUAGCAGCUGCAAAAGUAGACUUACUUGGUGCUGAGAGUGCUGGAGAGCAGAAGGCAGCUACUAGCAUGAGGAGAGACAGGACAGUCAUGCAGAGCUUCAUGGUAUUGGUGGAAAAGAGGUUUUCUCAGAGGUGAGGCUGCAGAACUCAGACGCUUCAGAACCCAGCUGUGUCCUGUGCUGAUACUGACUUGGGAAUCUCUCUUUAUAGGUACUCUGAGGCCUAGGACAAAUGUGGGGCACAGGAGAGUGAGUGGAAUUUCCAUGGUAGAGAUGAUGUCAUGCUCCUGAAGCUAGCUGAGUGAGGAGUUCCUCUCAGCUUCUCUUCCCCAGGGCGAUGUCAUCAUAGAGGAAAGAUGAGGGAGGUGCAGGCGAGAAGAAAAGGGAAGUGGUACAACCAAAGGCAGUGACCGAGACUGGGGAGAGAGUUGCAAACCCCAGAGGAAAAGAUGAAAUGUUCACACCUGCUACAAGUGGCUUGUUGACAAGAACUGUGCUGCUCUUGGUGGUUGGCACCCCCAGAUGCUGGAGGGUUCAUGCCAGUCUUUCCAGGCUGGCCACAGUCCUGGCCCCAAGAACAAAGUGGGAGCCAGGACUCCCCCAUCCCCUUCCUGUGCCUUCUUCUGCUG
rnacentral:lncRNA from 1 species